rnacentral:rRNA from 1 species
UUAGUGGCGGACGGGUGAGUAACGCGUGGAAAACCUGCCGUAUACUGGGGGAUAACACUUAGAAAUAGGUGCUAAUACCGCAUAAGCGCACAGCUUCGCGUGAAGCGGUGUGAAAAACUCUGGUGGUAUACGAUGGUUCCGCGUCUGAUUAGCUAGUUGGUGGGGUAAUGGCCUACCAAGGCAACGAUCAGUAGCCGGCCUGAGAGGGUGAACGGCCACAUUGGGACUGAGACACGGCCCAAACUCCUACGGAAGGCAGCAG